UUCAAGCUGCCAGAACUGCAUAAAAAAAAAGAAAAAAAAAGAAAAAAAGAAGAAGAAGGACUCUGUUGUGGCCCAGUGGGUAAACAGGCUCUUGUCUCUCAAAACAGGGGACCAGACUCGAGUCCGUGUCCUCGCCAGCUUCUGCGAGGAUGCUAACAAGCCGAUAGCGCCGCAGCUACGUGCAGAUGGCAGCCAGAAGGUGCAUGAGGACGUGGGACGCUCCGGCUGCGGCGACCGACAAACGUAACGGAAGUGGCUGCUGAUGGUGGCGGGACCGAGGUGUCGCUCUCUGCCUGGGCGCUCCGCCGUGUCACAUCUGUCCAUCUGUCAGGCGCGCAGGCCCAUCAAUCAAGCGGGCUGAACGCA